UACGUAGGGGGCAAGCGUUGUCCGGAAUCAUUGGGCGUAAAGAGCGUGUAGGCGGUCCGGUCAGUCGGUUGUGAAAGUCAAGGGCUCAACCCUUGAAUGCCGGCCGAUACUGCCGGGCUAGAGUCCGGAAGAGGUGAGUGGAAUUCCUGGUGUAGCGGUGAAAUGCGCAGAUAUCAGGAGGAACACCGAUGGCGAAGGCGACUUCCUGGCCUGUUCUUGACGCUGAGGCGCGAAAGCUAGGGGAGCAAACGGG
rnacentral:rRNA from 1 species